rnacentral:rRNA from 1 species
AUUGAACGCUGGCGGCAUGCCUAACACAUGCAAGUCGAGCGAGCGGCGGACGGGUGAGUAAUGCCUGGGAAUUGCCCAGUCGAGGGGGAUAACAGUUGGAAACGACUGCUAAUACCGCAUACGAUUGGCUUUCUCAGGUGGGAUUAGCCAGUGGGUGAGGUAAUGGCUAACCAAGGUGACGAUCCCUAGCUGGUCUGAGAGGAUGAUCAGCCACACUGGAACUGAGACACGGUCCAGACUCCUACGGGAGGCAGCAGUAGGGAAUAUUGCGCAAUGGGGGAAACCCUGAUGCAGCCAUGCCGCGUGUGUGAAGAAGGCCUUCGGGUUGUAAAGCACUGUCGGCGGGGAGGCGUUACUCAAAGAGAAAGCAACGGCUAACUCCGUGCCAGCAGCCGCGGUAAUAC